rnacentral:rRNA from 1 species
GUAGGGGGCAAGCGUUGUCCGGAUUCAUUGGGCGUAAAGCGCGUGUAGGCGGUUCAAUAGGUCCGAUGUGAAAACUCGAGGCUCAACUUCGAGAGGCCAUCGGAAACCAUUGGACUAGAGUCCGGAAGAGGAGAGUGGAAUUCCUGGUGUAGCGGUGAAAUGCGCAGAUAUCAGGAGGAACACCGAUGGCGAAGGCAGCUCUCUGGGACGGUACUGACGCUGAGACGCGAAAGCGUGGGGGAGCGAACAGGAUUAGAUACCCUGGUAGUCCACGCCGUAAACGAUGGGCACUAGGUGUGGGUGGUGUCGACUCCAUCCGUGCCGCAGCUAACGCAUUAAGUGCCCCCCGCCUGGGGAGUACGGCCGCAAGGCUA